rnacentral:rRNA from 1 species
UACGAAGGGGGCUAGCGUUGUUCGGAUUUACUGGGCGUAAAGCGCACGUAGGCGGAUCGUUAAGUCGGGGGAUGAAAUCCUGGAGCUCAACUCCAGAACUGCCUUCGAUACUGGCGAUCUUGAGUCCGGAAGAGGUGAGUGGAACUCCUAGUGUAGAGGUGGAAUUCGUAGAUAUUAGGAAGAACACCAGUGGCGAAGGCGGCUCACUGGUCCGGUACUGACGCUGAGGUGCGAAAGCGUGGGGAGCAAACGGGG